AUACGUAGGGGGCGAGCGUUGUCCGGAAUGAUUGGGCGUAAAGGGCGCGUAGGCGGCCCGGUAAGUCUGGAGUGAAAGUCCUGUUUUUAAGAUGGGAAUUGCUUUGGAUACUGUCGGGCUUGAGUGCAGGAGAGGUAAGUGGAAUUCCCAGUGUAGCGGUGAAAUGCGUAGAGAUUGGGAGGAACACCAGUGGCGAAGGCGACUUACUGGACUGUAACUGACGCUGAGGCGCGAAAGUGUGGGGAGCAAACAGGAUUAGAUACCCUGGUAGUCCACACUGUAAACGAUGAAUGCUAGGUGUAGGGGGUAUCGACCCCUUCUGUGCCGCAGUCAACACAAUAAGCAUUCCGCCUGGGGAGUACGGCCGCAAGGUUGAAACUCAAAUGAAGUGACGGG
rnacentral:rRNA from 1 species